GCCUUACACAUGCAAGUCGAACGGCAGCACGGGGGCAACCCUGGUGGCGAGUGGCGAACGGGUGAGUAAUACAUCGGAACGUGUCCUGUAGUGGGGGAUAGCCCGGCGAAAGCCGGAUUAAUACCGCAUACGCUCUACGGAGGAAAGGGGGGGAUCUUCGGACCUCUCGCUAUGGGGGCGGCCGAUGGCAGAUUAGCUAGUUGGUGGGGUAAAGGCCUACCAAGGCGACGAUCUGUAGCUGGUCUGAGAGGACGACCAGCCACACUGGGAUUGAGACACGGCCCAGACUCCUACGGGAGGCAGCAGUGGGGAAUUUUGGACAAUGGGCGCAAGCCUGAUCCAGCAAUGCCGCGUGUGUCAA
rnacentral:rRNA from 1 species